GAUGAACGCUGGCGGCGUGCCUAAUACAUGCAAGUCGAGCGAACAGACGAGGAGCUUGCUCCUCACACGUGAGCGGCGGACGGGUGAGUAACACGUGGAUAACCUACCUAUCAGACUGGGAUAACUUCGGGAAACCGGAGCUAAUACCGGAUAAUAUAUUGAACCGCAGGGUUCAAUAGUGAAAGACGGUUUUGCUGGCGCUUAUAGAUUGUUCCGCGCCGCAUUAGAUAGUUGGUAAGGUAACGGCUUACCACGACAACGAUGCGUAGCCGACCUGAGCGGUGGAUCGGCCACACGGGAACGGAGACACGGUCCAGACUCCUACGGGAGGCAGCAGUAGGGAAUCUUCCGCAGCAGGCGAAAGCCUUACGGAGCAACGCCGCGUGAGUGAUGAAGGUCUUGGGAUCGUAAAGCUCUGUUACUAGGGAAGAACAAAUGUGUAAGUAACUAUGCACGUCUUGACGGUACCUGAUGAGAAAGCCACGGCUAACUACGUG
rnacentral:rRNA from 1 species